GGGCAGGUUCUACACAAUCAGCUCCUGCUGAAUCCCCCAGGGUGGAAACGCAGCAAGGGUAUGCGGUCGUAGCGGUGUGCUGUAGGUAGCCUGCCUUUU
rnacentral:SRP_RNA from 1 species